AUGGCCGACGCCCCGCCGCCCGCGCCCGUGACCGCGCCGCGCCGACGCCCCCGCAGAGAGCCGUCGGAGCCCCGGAGCGAGAGCGACUGGGAGGAGGGAUCCAGCAGCAGGGAGGGCUCCCCGGGCGCCGACAGCGCCGACGGAGACGCCGUGCGCCGCGCCGCGCGCCGCUGGAGCGACGACCGGGCCGCGCGGAUCUCGGGCACCGCCGCCGACGCCGGCUGGUGGCUCGGCGAGAUCGAGCGCGACCGCGUGCGCCUCGUCCGGGACUGGGUCCAGGUCCAGAUGGAGGCCGCGCGCGACCGCGACCGCGACCAGGGCGGCGCCGACGGCGGCGACCCGCCGCACCCGCCCCCGUCGCCCGCCGCCGGCCCCCGGAUCCGCGGCCGCCAGGCCAGGCUCGAGCUCGUCAUGCGCCUCGCCGCCGACCGCCACGCCGAGCUCCAGCGCCUCUCCCUCCGCCGCGCCGUCUCCGCCUUCCCCCACCGCAACCGAAUCCACGCGCUGCUCCGGGGAAGGUUUCUGCGGAACGGCGGCCUGCCGGAGGAGGAGAGGAGGCAGCCGUCGGUGGCCGCCAGGGAGCUCGGGCAGCUCCGGCAGCGCCACCCCGUCUCCGGCCUCAGAUUGGAGAAUCUUGUACGAGGUCAAGCAGCUAGCCGGUCGGAUUCAUCUUCAGCUCAGACUGUCGAGCUCUCAACCAUUGACCAUUCUGAAUCAAGCCGUGCUGCUUCUGAAGAUACUCAGGACAUGCAUCGACAGGCAAACGAUAAUGUUGAUCUUCAGCGAAUUGGAGAGACAGCAACAGGGUCAGAUUAUGGAAGCAAUGCUCCUAGUAUUGCUGAAGGAUUGUCCGAGCCUCAUAGUCAGGAGGAGGGUUGGCAGGAAGAUUUGGAGGUGGUGGAUAGAAGAAGAGACUGGGAUCAGUUUUCCCAUGCUAUUACUACGACUGGAGAGGGAUCUGGCAGAAACUGGAUUGAAAGUGCGGACAGCAGUUCAUCAUCGUCUGAUGAGAGGACAACAGAGGCUGGAGAUCGUCAAGGUGCCUCGUAUCUUCUGGAAACAAGUGAUGAGUCAACAAUUAGUGAUAAUAAUCUUCCUGAAGCACAUGAAGAGCAGCUUGACAGUAACCAUCUCCCCGAAGCGCUUGAAGGCAACAAUCAUCUCCAAGAAGCGCGUGGAGAGUGGAACAGGGAGGGUAAUGAUCCCGCACAAGUGCGUGAUGAGUGGCCCAGUGACGAUCAUUUUCCAGAAAUGAAUGAAGUGUGGCACGACGACGAUGAGUCCAAUGGGAGUGCGCAUAACUGGCAUGACGAUCAUUCAGAGCAACCCGUUGACCAGGAGUCUACGCUCAUCAGAAGAGUUAAUACAUUUACCCCUGGCGAUGACGAUAAUGUCUACAGCACAGAACUAAGGGAGCUUCUAAGCAGAAGGAGCGUUUCUAAUCUUCUUGAUAGCGCUUUCCGUGAAAACCUAGACCGCCUUAUCCGGUCAUACGUUGAACGGCAAGGUCGUGGUCCUCUCUCUUUGAAUCUGCAAGGAACACCUGCGGUAGCAGCAGCAACCCCUGACCAGCAGGAGCAAGAUCAAGAAGAGCAGCGGCAUGGAGAUGACGACGAGGAACAGCAACUUCUUCGUGAUGCUGCAAAUGUUAGGCCUCGCUUAGUGAUCCCACCUCCACCUAUGCCUCCUCGUCAACCACUUUGGCAUUCGGAGCUGCAUCAUAACAACUGGAUGAGACAGAACAUCAACCGCUCCGAUAUCGAAUGGGAGGCUAUUAAUGAUUUGAGGGCUGAUAUGGCUAGACUUCAGCAAGGUAUGGGUCAUAUGCAAAGGAUGUUGGAAGCUUGCAUGGAUAUGCAGCUUGAGUUACAACGUUCUGUGAGGCAGGAAGUUUCCGCGGCCUUGAAUCGCUUCAUCGGGGAGCAAGGGGAACCCAAGGAGACCAUCGACGAUGGAUCGAAAUGGAUGAAUGUGAGGAAAGGCACUUGCUGUGUAUGCUGUGAUACUCCGAUCGAUUCUCUUCUGUACAGAUGUGGGCACAUGUGCACGUGCUCGAAAUGCGCGAACGAGUUGGUUCGAAGUGGAGGGAAGUGUCCGCUGUGCCGCGCACCCAUUAUUGAGGUGAUCCGAGCUUACUUCAUCAUGUAA
rnacentral:rRNA from 1 species